AAUUUAUUUUCUAAUUUUCUUUCUAAACAAUGUGUACACUGUGCAUCAGUGCUAAAAACAUUAUGCCGUAAAUAACGCUUGACUGCUGUAAUGAUUGCGUUUUGCAGCAGUUGGGAGCAACAGGAAUACGGCACGAAGGAAAACACCGUGCAUGUGUUUGACAGCUUCAUAAAACUUUCUUAUUUCUGUCUAAAUAUGAGUUUUAUGACAGCUGGAGUGGAGCCUCUCAGCGCGUGCUUCCGGUUGCUGGGGUGGAGCUGUCUCUGCACAGAGGAGUGUUCAGCUGCUCUGCUUUCAGGUCAGAUUUUCCUCGAGCACGUGAUCAGACGAUGAUCCAACACGGAUCGUCAGAUUUUGGACAGACUUGUGGGGUCCAUGCCAGCUCGAGAGCACGCUGUCAUUAAAGGAACAGGGGGAUGUACUGACUACAGAGAAAUUCUGAAGUUCACGAGCAGUUUGGACGUACCUGAACUCCAGGUAGACCUUGAUCACCUUUCUCUCCUUUGGCUCCACCUCUCCCAGGAGGACCCUGAAGAGAGAGAGAGAGAGAAAGCAGAACAUUAUGACUGAGACAAAGACAUGAGGAGUCCAACUAUUGGGAUAGACGACAACAACAGAACAACUCACAGGAUCUCCUCUCACUCCACGUUCUCCCUUCGGGCCAGAACCUCCUUUAACUCCCUUUACACCCUGCAAACAGACACAAGACAAUGACGAAGCUACUGCAUGAGAAUUAUUAUUCACUGGAUGGAAAUUAAAACUAUAUAUAUAUAUAUAUAUAUUCAUGAACCCUUGCUGCUGUAUGAAGUAUGUAGUAAGUUACACAUGGAGGUCAAUUAUUUGUUGAAUGUGCAGUAUAUAGUAUGUUGGGAUGUACUUACUGGGCGUCCUGGAUCUCCCUUCAGUCCUGCCUUUCCAGCUGCACCAGACUCACCCUGUUCAGGACACAGAAUCGAUACAGCGAAUCAGAGAAUCACUCAAAUUCAUAAUGCAGGUCUCGCUCAAGGGCACAACAGCAGCUCUCCGGGCAGGCCUGGGAUUUGAACUCACAACAUUCUGGUUGCAGAGCUAACACUAUCUUAAUGAAUGAUAUCCUGGACCAGGAUUAGCCUGCUGAAUAACCUGGUUAUGUAAAGGAAUAAACAAGUCUUAACUAAUGAGAUCAAAUUGCAAGAAUCCAAGUGUCAGUAACAGUAUGCUGUAUUUUAGGGAUGGAA